UACGUAGGGGGGCAAGCGUUUGUCCGGAUUUAUUGGGCGUAAAGAGCGUGUAGGCGGCCUGAAAGGUCAGCUGUGAAAACUCGAGGCUUAACCUCGAGACGUCGGUUGAAACCAUCUGGCUAGAGUCCGGAAGAGGAGUGUGGAAUUCCCGGUGUAGCGGUGAAAUGCGCAGAUAUCGGGGAAGAACACCCCGUGGCGAAGGCGGCACUCUGGGACGGUACUGACG
rnacentral:rRNA from 1 species